GACAGAGGGUGCAAACGUUGUUCGGAAUUACUGGGCGUAAAGCGCGUGUAGGCUGCUCUGCAAGUCGGAUGUGAAAGCCCUGGGCUCAACCUAGGAAGUGCAUUCGAAACUGCAAAGCUGGAGUCCUGGAGAGGAAGGCGGAAUUCUCGGUGUAGAGGUGAAAUUCGUAGAUAUCGAGAGGAACACCGGUGGCGAAGGCGGCCU
rnacentral:rRNA from 1 species